rnacentral:misc_RNA from 1 species
UCUCCGUAGGUGAACCUGCGGAGGGAUCAUUACCGAGUGAGGGCCCCCGGCCCGACCUCCAACCCUUUGUGUUUCUGACUGUGUUGCCUCGGGGGCGACCCUGCCGGCACUCUGUCGCCGGGCGCCCCCGAAGGUCUCCAAACACUGCAUCUUUGCGUCGGAGUUUAAAACAAAUUAAACAAAACUUUCAACAACGGAUCUCUUGGUUCUGGCAUCGAUGAAGAACGCAGC